AUUGAACGCUGGCGGCAUGCCUUACACAUGCAAGUCGAACGGUAACAGGUCUUCGGAUGCUGACGAGUGGCGAACGGGUGAGUAAUACAUCGGAACGUGCCUAGUAGUGGGGGAUAACUACUCGAAAGAGUGGCUAAUACCGCAUGAGAUCUACGGAUGAAAGCAGGGGAUCGCAAGACCUUGUGCUACUAGAGCGGCCGAUGGCAGAUUAGGUAGUUGGUGGGAUAAAAGCUUACCAAGCCGACGAUCUGUAGCUGGUCUGAGAGGACGAUCAGCCACACUGGGACUGAGACACGGCCCAGACUCCUACGGGAGGCAGCAGUGGGGAAUUUUGGACAAUGGGCGAAAGCCUGAUCCAGCAAUGCCGCGUGCAGGAUGAAGGCCUUCGGGUUGUAAACUGCUUUUGUACGGAACGAAAAAGCUUCUCCUAAUACGAGAGGCCCACGACGGUACCGUAAGAAUAAGCACCGGCUAACUACGUGCCAGCCGCCGCCGUAAGAC
rnacentral:rRNA from 1 species